rnacentral:lncRNA from 1 species
GUUGUAUAGAAUAAUUGUCAGGUUUCAUGUGACCUUGAAGUUGACCUCAAGUUCAUGGUUCAUUAGUCAAUGUAAUUUGUGGUUUUGUCAGUUUAUCAAAUACUAUUAAAUGUAUUAGCAAUAGGUCAACUAUUAUAUGUCUGACUGGUGGGCUUCAUCUGACCUAAACCUCAAUUUUAUGGUUCAUUGGUCAAUGUUUAGUUUUUGUGGUUUGAUUUAGUUUGUUGAUACUAUAAGCAAUAGCCAUAAGAGCCACUUUAGUUUGUGUAUGGAAUGACUUCUGUGUACAGGUCUGACUGGCAGGUUUCAUUUGACAUCAUUUCAAUGGUUCACGGGAUAGUGUUAAGUUUUUGUGGUUUGAUCUAUUUCAUUGAUACUAUGAUCAAUAUGGCCACUAUAUUUUGUGUAUGGAAUGACUUCUGUGUACAGGUUUGACUGGCAGGUUUCAUUUGCCCUUGACAUCAAUUAAAUGGCUCACUGGAUAGUGUUAAGUUUUUUGUUGUUUGGUCUAUUUCUGAAAUCUAUAAGCAAAAAGGCCACUAUAUUUUGUUAUGAAAUGAUUGUAAGGUGUACAUAUCUAAAUGACAGGUUUCAUAUGAUGUUGACCUCAUUUUCUAAUUUCUUAUUUUUUGUUGCUGUCAGUUUGUAUUUUUUUGGUGGGGUUUUAAAUAGUUUUCUCCGUUGUGUUUUGAGUACUGUUGUUGUACUAUGGACUUUUUCUUUGAUUUUUUUUUUCUGCCAUGGCGUUGUCAAUUUUCGACUUAUGAGUAUGAAUGCUCUUUGGUAUCUUUUGCCUCUCGUUUUAAAUUUCUGUGACUUUAUUGUUGGUUUGAUAUGUACAUAUCAUAUCCUGGAAAGUGUUGAAUUUUAAGACUUUUUGAUUUUUUACAUCACAAAAUAUAGCUAACAUCCAAUGUAAGUGAUUGUCAUCACUAAGUAGCUUUGUGUAAGAUUUGUGUUCAAAUCUUUAUUUGGAAGGUUGUUGUGCACUGAGUUUAUCAGGUUUAAUCCACCAUUUUCUACAUUUGAAAAUGCCUGUACCAAGUCAGGAAUAUGACAGUUGUUGUCUAUUCCUUUUUGAUGUGUUUUGUCAUUUAAAUUUUGCCAUGAUAAGGGACUUUCCGAUUUGAUUUUCCUUUGAGUUCAUAUUUUUGUGAUUUUACUUUUUGCAUACUAUAUUUUUU